rnacentral:rRNA from 1 species
UACGGAGGAUCCGAGCGUUAUCCGGAUUUAUUGGGUUUAAAGGGUGCGUAGGCGGCCUGUUAAGUCAGGGGUGAAAGACGGUAGCUCAACUAUCGCAGUGCCCUUGAUACUGAUGGGCUUGAAUGUACUAGAGGUAGGCGGAAUGUGACAAGUAGCGGUGAAAUGCAUAGAUAUGUCACAGAACACCAAUUGCGAAGGCAGCUUACUGUGGUAUAAUUGACGCUGAGGCACGAAAGCGUGGGGAUCAAACAGG